GGGUUGUGAGGUUAAGCGACUAAGCGUACACGGUGGAUGCCCUGGCAGUCAGAGGCGAUGAAGGACGUGCUAAUCUGCGAUAAGCGUCGGUAAGGUGAUAUGAACCGUUAUAACCGGCGAUUUCCGAAUGGGGAAACCCAGUGUGAUUCGUCACACUAUCAUUAACUGAAUCCAUAGGUUAAUGAGGCGAACCGGGGGAACUGAAACAUCUAAGUACCCCGAGGAAAAGAAAUCAACCGAGAUUCCCCCAGUAGCGGCGAGCGAACGGGGAGCAGCCCAGAGCCUGAAUCAGUGUGUGUGUUAGUGGAAGCGUCUGGAAAGGCGCGCGAUACAGGGUGACAGCCCCGUACACAAAAAUGCACAUACUGUGAGCUCGAUGAGUAGGGCGGGACACGUGGUAUCCUGUCUGAAUAUGGGGGGACCAUCCUCCAAGGCUAAAUACUCCUGACUGACCGAUAGUGAACCAGUACCGUGAGGGAAAGGCGAAAAGAACCCCGGCGAGGGGAGUGAAAAAGAACCUGAAACCGUGUACGUACAAGCAGUGGGAGCACGCUUCGGCGUGUGACUGCGUACCUUUUGUAUAAUGGGUCAGCGACUUAUAUUCUGUAGCAAGGUUAACCGAAUAGGGGAGCCGAAGGGAAACCGAGUCUUAACUGGGCGUUAAGUUGCAGGGUAUAGACCCGAAACCCGGUGAUCUAGCCAUGGGCAGGUUGAAGGUUGGGUAACACUAACUGGAGGACCGAACCGACUAAUGUUGAAAAAUUAGCGGAUGACUUGUGGCUGGGGGUGAAAGGCCAAUCAAACCGGGAGAUAGCUGGUUCUCCCCGAAAGCUAUUUAGGUAGCGCCUCGUGAAUUCAUCUCCGGGGGUAGAGCACUGUUUCGGCAAGGGGGUCAUCCCGACUUACCAACCCGAUGCAAACUGCGAAUACCGGAGAAUGUUAUCACGGGAGACACACGGCGGGUGCUAACGUCCGUCGUGAAGAGGGAAACAACCCAGACCGCCAGCUAAGGUCCCAAAGUCAUGGUUAAGUGGGAAACGAUGUGGGAAGGCCCAGACAGCCAGGAUGUUGGCUUAGAAGCAGCCAUCAUUUAAAGAAAGCGUAAUAGCUCACUGGUCGAGUCGGCCUGCGCGGAAGAUGUAACGGGGCUAAACCAUGCACCGAAGCUGCGGCAGCGACGCUUAUGCGUUGUUGGGUAGGGGAGCGUUCUGUAAGCCUGUGAAGGUGUGCUGUGAGGCAUGCUGGAGGUAUCAGAAGUGCGAAUGCUGACAUAAGUAACGAUAAAGCGGGUGAAAAGCCCGCUCGCCGGAAGACCAAGGGUUCCUGUCCAACGUUAAUCGGGGCAGGGUGAGUCGACCCCUAAGGCGAGGCCGAAAGGCGUAGUCGAUGGGAAACAGGUUAAUAUUCCUGUACUUGGUGUUACUGCGAAGGGGGGACGGAGAAGGCUAUGUUGGCCGGGCGACGGUUGUCCCGGUUUAAGCGUGUAGGCUGGUUUUCCAGGCAAAUCCGGAAAAUCAAGGCUGAGGCGUGAUGACGAGGCACUACGGUGCUGAAGCAACAAAUGCCCUGCUUCCAGGAAAAGCCUCUAAGCAUCAGGUAACAUCAAAUCGUACCCCAAACCGACACAGGUGGUCAGGUAGAGAAUACCAAGGCGCUUGAGAGAACUCGGGUGAAGGAACUAGGCAAAAUGGUGCCGUAACUUCGGGAGAAGGCACGCUGAUACGUAGGUGAAGCGACUUGCUCGUGGAGCUGAAAUCAGUCGAAGAUACCAGCUGGCUGCAACUGUUUAUUAAAAACACAGCACUGUGCAAACACGAAAGUGGACGUAUACGGUGUGACGCCUGCCCGGUGCCGGAAGGUUAAUUGAUGGGGUCAGCGCAAGCGAAGCUCUUGAUCGAAGCCCCGGUAAACGGCGGCCGUAACUAUAACGGUCCUAAGGUAGCGAAAUUCCUUGUCGGGUAAGUUCCGACCUGCACGAAUGGCGUAAUGAUGGCCAGGCUGUCUCCACCCGAGACUCAGUGAAAUUGAACUCGCUGUGAAGAUGCAGUGUACCCGCGGCAAGACGGAAAGACCCCGUGAACCUUUACUAUAGCUUGACACUGAACAUUGAGCCUUGAUGUGUAGGAUAGGUGGGAGGCUUUGAAGUGUGGACGCCAGUCUGCAUGGAGCCGACCUUGAAAUACCACCCUUUAAUGUUUGAUGUUCUAACGUGGACCCGUGAUCCGGGUUGCGGACAGUGUCUGGUGGGUAGUUUGACUGGGGCGGUCUCCUCCUAAAGAGUAACGGAGGAGCACGAAGGUUGGCUAAUCCUGGUCGGACAUCAGGAGGUUAGUGCAAUGGCAUAAGCCAGCUUGACUGCGAGCGUGACGGCGCGAGCAGGUGCGAAAGCAGGUCAUAGUGAUCCGGUGGUUCUGAAUGGAAGGGCCAUCGCUCAACGGAUAAAAGGUACUCCGGGGAUAACAGGCUGAUACCGCCCAAGAGUUCAUAUCGACGGCGGUGUUUGGCACCUCGAUGUCGGCUCAUCACAUCCUGGGGCUGAAGUAGGUCCCAAGGGUAUGGCUGUUCGCCAUUUAAAGUGGUACGCGAGCUGGGUUUAGAACGUCGUGAGACAGUUCGGUCCCUAUCUGCCGUGGGCGCUGGAGAACUGAGGGGGGCUGCUCCUAGUACGAGAGGACCGGAGUGGACGCAUCACUGGUGUUCGGGUUGUCAUGCCAAUGGCACUGCCCGGUAGCUAAAUGCGGAAGAGAUAAGUGCUGAAAGCAUCUAAGCACGAAACUUGCCCCGAGAUGAGUUCUCCCUGACUCCUUGAGAGUCCUGAAGGAACGUUGAAGACGACGACGUUGAUAGGCCGGGUGUGUAAGCGCAGCGAUGCGUUGAGCUAACCGGUACUAAUGAACCGUGAGGCUUAACCUUACAACGCCGAAG
rnacentral:rRNA from 1 species